AUUGAACGCUGGCGGCAGGCCUAACACAUGCAAGUCGAACGGUAACACGAAACACCUUUCUGUUUCGGUGGCGAGUGGGGGACGGGGGGGUGAAAUCUGGGGAAAUCUCCGUUGUCGUGGGGGAAAACCUGGAAACAGUUGCUCUAAUACCGUAUAGUCUCAAGCGGUCAGAGGAGGGGCUUCGGGACUCUUGCGAUACGAUGUGCGCAGAUGGGGUUAGCUAGUAGGUGGGGUAACGGCCCACCUAGGCGCCGAUCCGUAGCUGGUCUGAGAGGAUGACCAGCCACACUGGAACUGAGACACGGUCCAGACUCCUACGGGAGGCAGCAGUGGGGAAUAUUGGACAAAGGGCGCAAGCCUGAUGCAGCCAUGCCGCGUGGGUGAAGAAGGCCUUCGGGUUGUAAAGUACUUUUGUCGGGAAAGAAGGGAGUCAGGUUAAUACCUUGGUGCAUUGACGUUACCCGAAGAAGAAGCACCGGCUAACUCCGUG
rnacentral:rRNA from 1 species